rnacentral:rRNA from 1 species
UACGUAGGGUGCAAGCGUUGUCCGGAAUUAUUGGGCGUAAAGAGCUCGUAGGCGGUUUGUCGCGUCUGCUGUGAAACCCGAGGCUCAACCUCAGGCCUGCAGUCGAUACGGGCGGACUUGAGUACUGCAGGGGAGACUGGAAUUCCUGGUGUAGCGGUGAAAUGCGCAGAUAUCAGGAGGAACACCGGUGGCGAAGGCGGGUCUCUGGGCAGUAACUGACGCUGAGGAGCGAAAGCGUGGGGAGCGAACAGG